GAGAUAGGCUCGAAGCAAUAGGCACUGCUAAUACUUAUUACCCACGGUUAAACUCCGUGGCUCUCUCG
rnacentral:tRNA from 1 species